UCACCACCAGCCCACGCCUUUUUGUGGUGGUCACUCCAAUGUUGGAAUUGAAACCAAAUCCAAGUGAUGAACCUAAGCCAGAAGGUAACGAUCAAGUUUGCACUACUCACAAUGCCAAUUUAAUACAAAAUUCUGACCAGAACUACUUUCAUAAAACUCACAUUUGCGACUAAUGCAAAUGCUACAAAUUGGAAAAGAUUUACACACUAACGGCUAUGAAAAGGGCAAAGUGACUAGAGUGCUGCAUGUUGCACGGGUUCUCAUAAGAUCGACCAUAAGGAUAUUAAAGGACGAAAAUAAUGACACAUAUUUAGCUGAUUAGAUCACAAGAUAAAAGUUAAAGAAACUUAAGUGGAAAAUGGUUUCGUUCCAUACCUAAUGCUAGGAAAUAUCAACACAAUGUUAGCCUCCAUAUAUUUAUCACAUUCCCUCAUGUGAAUGCCUUCUGGACCUUACUGUUUUCCUCGCUCGGAGUUUUAUGGUUCAAUUAUUUAUAAUCUACCUUUAAACAAACCGAGUUUGACCAUAAAACUAACAGUACGAUUCAAUAUUUUCAUUAGCAUUCCAAUUUCAAACCUACAACGUCCUCAAUAGACACUAUCAAUGAACUGUAGAACUUCGAACAAAGGAAGAAACUAAGUGGACUAUGGUUUAAUUUCAUACCCAUUGCUAGGAAAUAUCAACAUAGAAUGUUAAUCUGCAUAUAUUUAUCACAUUUCCUCCAGGUAUAUGCCUUUUGGCCCUUAAGGUUUUCUUCCUUGUUCAAAAUUUUUACGGUUCAAUUGUUCUAUAAUCUAGCUUUAACCAAUGGAUUUUGACCAUAAAACUAGCAAUACGAUUCAAUUUUUUCAGUAGCACGCCAAUGUCAGACCUAAAAUAUCCAAAAUAGACACUCCAAAUGUGAAUUAUGUGGAAUACAAAACAUCACAAUCAAGAAUUGCAACGUACUCUUUUUCUCUCCUUUUUGGUCAAGCAUUAGUAUAAUACCUUCAAAUCUAUACGUGGAUAUAAUCCAACAGUACUAGGAUAAUAACCUUCUUUAACCAUAAUCACUGCAAUUAUUGGUAGUUACAAUGCACCCACAAAAAGCAAUUUGUUUUAUGACAGUGGAGUCUAGGCAAGCUUAUGCGCACCUCGACUAUUCUAUUAAGUACCUAGUAACUCCCCUAGAACAGGUAACGAAUAACUUUGUCCACUAAGGCUUAGACAGAUCGAAAUCACUAGGGGAUGUACUAUUUCUAUACAUACCAAACCAUGACAUUAUACAAUAACAUAAUUUUUAAUACAUGGAUAAGCAUGUCUAAAGACAUAACUGCCUUUUCAAAACCUUUACUACAUCAAACCAAACAGUGAUAAGAAAUAAUCUCAGUAUAAGUUAUGUUGGGAUAAGUUAUGCUGGGAUUAGUUAUACUGAGAUUGUUGUUUAUUCACUGUUUGGUAUAUUGUAUUAAGAAUGAAAAUUGCAUAAUUUCUAAGAAGAAGGUAUAAGUUAUACCGGUACUAAUUACCCCACCCUCUAUAACGUAUAAGUUAUUCCAGUGUUAAAAUUAACACCGAGAUAACUUAUACCUGGUUUGCUAACCAAAUAGAGUAUUAAGUUAGUAUUAAAUUUUUAUACCAUCCCUGUACCUCAUACCAAACGACCCCUUAGUGUAUUUUGCAUCCCCUAGGAUUGAACUUGAGUCUCCUCCCACAUCAUUAACCACUAAGCUACACUGUUUAGUAAUCAUAAUGUACCCACACGAAGUAACUUAAAGCAACAUUAACGGGAACCAAGAAACAUCAACACAUUGUCAAUCCAAUCGACAACUGAAAUCUCCAAUUUCCGCAAGACCCAAUUCACCAAACAACAAAAUAAAAUUAAUAAUUAAUUUCUCUUGUCCUAUUUUCACAUCAAAAUUGUGCAUAAGAUUCAAGUUGCAAAACCAAGAUAGAACCUUUUCAGUUGAGGGUGUCGGCGAAAAAGGAAAAAUGAUUGAAAAUUUAUGGGACUUACCGGAGAAAGAAGAAGAAGCAGAUAGGGAUGAAAGUGCAGAAGAAGGAACAAAAGAGCAGUGAAGCAGCCCAGAACGAGUUGAUGCCGUAGCAGCACAAGGUGCCAUUUUCAAGGAUACGGAGCUCGUUCUUGAAGAACCAGUGAGUAGAGAAAGUGAGGCUGAU
rnacentral:lncRNA from 1 species